rnacentral:rRNA from 1 species
CGGAUUGAAGGCUGAAAUUCGCCUUCAUGAAGUCGGAAUUGCUAGUAAUGGCAGGUCAGCAUACUGCCGUGAAUACGUUCCCGGGCCUUGUACACACCGCCCGUCACACCAUGAGAGUUGGAGAUACCCGAAGCCUAUGAGCUAACUUUUAGAGGCAGUAGUCGAAGGUAGAAUCAAUGAUUGGGGUGAAGUCGUAACAAGGUAUC